rnacentral:lncRNA from 1 species
AUGGGUUGAACCAAUAACAGAUACUGCGGUAAUUAAUUAAUUAGAUAGGCCAGAGGGAUCACAAUUUUUGUAGAGUUUUGUUAAAUAAUUUUUAGAUAGGUAUCAAUUGAGUGUUUGCGAGGAUGCUGCACAGUUAGGAGUGGAGCUAUGUAGAAUAAGUAGUUAUUUUCAGAAUGUAGAUACCUAGUGUAUAGUGUAAACAAGGAUAGAUAACUACUGAAAAGGUGGUUCAAUAGGUAGAAUGGAUGAAUAGUCAAGAAAAGUAGUUAUCAUCUAUAGUAUAGGAAUUGGUAUCUUGAGGUAAUAUAAGGAGGAUGA